rnacentral:lncRNA from 1 species
GAAACAAUGGGCUACAAUGAUUACAACAGCAAAGUUGGCCGUAUUCUGAGAAGCCACUCGGGGGCGUCGGUGUGAAGACACUCCACCUUGUAUUCUAUGGUCCUUAUGAUGGCGAUACCAAUGCUUUUCUCGAUAGUUGGCUCCAGACUGCCAUUGCACCGGGAAUAGAAGGACUCUCCCUCGUACUGUUGUCUUCAGAGAGCGUUCCAUUUUACAAAGAGCCUAAAUGCGAAAUCCCGUUCUCACUUUUAUCUGAUG